rnacentral:rRNA from 1 species
UUCCCGGUUGAUCCCGCCGGACCUGACUGCUAUCGGAUUGAUACUAAGCCAUGCGAGUCAUUGUAGCAAUACAAGGCAGACGGCUCAGUAACGCGUAGUCAACCUAACCUAUUGACGGGAAUAACCUCGGGAAACUGAGAAUAAUGCCCGAUAGAACACUAUGCCUGGAAUGGUUUGUGUUCCAAACGAUUUAUCGCCGUAGGAUGGGACUGCGGCCUAUCAGUUUGUUGGUGAGGUAAUGGCCCACCAAGACUAUUACAGGUACGGGCUCUGAGAGGAGUGGCCCGGAGAUGGGUACUGAGACACGGACCCAGGUCCUAUGGGGCGCAGCAGGCGAGAAAACUUUGCAAUGUGCGAAAGCACGACAAGGUUAAUCCGAGUGGUUUCUGCUAAAGAAACCUUUUGUCGGUCCUAGAAACACCGAUGAAUAAGGGGUGGGCAAGUUCUGGUGUCAGCCGCCGCGGUAAAACCAGCACCUCAAGUGGUCAGGAUGAUUAUUGGGCCUAAAGCAUCCGUAGCCUGCUUUGUUAGUUUUCGGUUAAAUCUGUACGCUCAACGUACAGGCUGCCGGGAAUACUGCAAAGCUAGGGAGUGGGAGAGGUAGACGGUACUCGGUAGGAAGGGGUAAAAUCCUUUGAUCUAUUGAUGACCACCUGUGGCGAAGGCGGUCUACCAGAACACGUCCGACGGUGAGGGAUGAAAGCUGGGGGAGCAAACCGGAUUAGAUACCCGGGUAGUCCCAGCUGUAAACCAUGCAAACUCAGUGAUGCAUUGGCUUGUGGCCAAUGCAGUGCUGCAGGGAAGCCGUUAAGUUUGCCGCCUGGGAAGUACGUACGCAAGUAUGAAACUUAAAGGAAUUGGCGGGGGAGCACCACAAGGGGUGAAGCCUGCGGUUCAAUUGGAGUCAACGCCGGG